rnacentral:lncRNA from 1 species
UUAACUUCCAAUGGAAGCAAUUUUAGUCGGUCGCCGGUCUCCGGCGGCGUAUAACGUGUGUACGGUAUAUCGCGAAACUGCAAUAAUAAUUAAACUUUUGUUUUUAUUAUUUUUAACAGUUUUUUUUUAUUCAAUUUUGAUAUUUUACAUCACAGUUAACAAAGUGCUGACUGCAAUUAAGAUAUCUUGUCAUGACUAAGGUAUACUUUCGAGGAUAUUGCAUAAGGAACGUGAUUAUUUUGUGUUUACGAAUCUAAUAAUUAUAUUAUAUUCUUUUAAUUAAUUGUUUGUACUCGGUUUUAUUUUAAUGUUAUUAAAUAUUUAUAAAAAAUAUUAUAAUUUAGUAGGUUCUAUUAUUGUCAACAACUAUAAAUAACUUUGGCACUUAUUAAGUAUUCUUCUUUAAAAACAAAGUCCAUUCGGUCGCAAAUAUUUUUUUUUAAUUGUAACAAGUUUAAAACUAAGAUGGAAGAUAGCGUCGCGUAAACACGAUCAGUGUUAUAGACAGAAUUUACUGCAACGCCGAUAGCACCCCACAUGAGUUGCCAUUUUUGAAGACUAAGGUAGGCAGUUAUUAUAUGACUUUAUUACAUUACUAUGCAAAUGAUUUAGACACUUUUGAAAAUAACAUUAAGGAUACAUUAAAUCAAGUAAAAAUAUGGUUGCCAAAAAAUAAUUUAAAAAUUAAUUUACUUAAAACAAAAACAUUUAUUUUAAGACUUGUUUGAGUCCCGUCCUUGACCUUAAUAUAACAUACGAGAAUAAUAACGUAGAAGUAGAUUCUACUAUUUUUAUUAGACAUCACAUUAGAUAAGAAAAUUUAAAACGAAGGAGCACUUUGUUGUGUUGCCACUUUUCGUCAGGUGGGCCGUCAGUUUGUUUUCCAUUUUAAGUUGCAUAAAAAAAAAGAAUGUAAAUUAAAUAAAUAAGUUUGUAUUUGCACUUUAUAAAUUGCACCAGAUAGCAACUUUACAAACUGCUCUUAGUGUAUAUCAUGGAUUUGUUUCAUCGACACUUCGUUUUUGUUUGAUUAUUGGUGGGAGUUCGUCUGACAUAACAGUUCUCAAAACACAAUAUAUAUAUAUAUAUAUAUAUAUAAGAGCUAUUAGCAAUGUGCGGUGUCGGGAAUCUUGUAGGUUCCAUUGUUGUUCCAUUAUUUAAAAAAAUUAGGUAUCCUUCUCCUGCUAUGUAUGUAUAUAUUUGCUAUCUAUACCUCUGUAAAGCAAUACCCAAAAAUAUUUAAUAC